GUCACCUCCCAUCCUAGCAACCGCCGAGUCUCUCUCCGAGCCUCUCGCCGAGCCUCUCGCCGCACCCCACUGCUCGGCCCUAGCAACCAUGCCCCGCCCCGUUCUAGCCUUGCUUCGCAGCCAUUGGCUGACUCGCGUGAUCUGGGUCCGGUAUUGGUCAACCCGGACGCCGGUCGGGAAGAGUCCCCACUCUCCCGUGUAGUUUGAUCCACAGUCAUUCACCUGGCUGUUAAGGCUGACAGGAUUUCGUGGCUGUCUCCAUCCCAGGGGCUACGUGGAUGCCCUCUCCGGGAGCGCAUACCCAGUGUCCUCUGGGGAGUAGUGGAGCCGACUUCAGGACUGACUGACCAUGACUUCCAUAAAGGAGCAAGCAGCAAUUAGCCGGCUCUUGAGUUUUUUACAGGAUUGGGACAAUGCUGGCAAAGUUGCAAGGAGUCACAUCCUCGACAAUUUCAUCAAGACCAACCAAGGCAAGACCUCCCCUGAACUGGAGCAGGAGUUUUCCCAAGGGGCCAGCUUGUUCCUGGCACGCCUGACCACCUGGCUUAGACUCACCUACAUGACUGGCUCCUGUUUAGAUAAGCUUCUGAAGUCUAUUGGUAUCUUCUUGUCAGCUGUGAGCAGUAACCGGUACCUUAUAGAAUUUCUUGAAGUUGGAGGCGUCCUAACACUCUUGGAAAUACUUGGGCUGGAGAAGAUCAAGGAGGAGGACAAGAAGGAAUCCAUCAGGCUACUUCAGGUUAUUGCAAACUCUGGCAGGAAGUACAAGGAGCUCAUCUGUGAAAGCUAUGGUGUACGAUCCAUAGCAGAAUUUUUGGCAAAGUCUAAAUCCGAAGAGACCCAGGAAGAAGUGCAGGUUCUGUUGGAUUCUCUGCUCCACGGAAAUCCCAAGUACCAGAAUCAAGUAUACAAAGGUCUAAUAGCUUUACUGCCCUGUGCGUCCCCGAAAGCUCAGCAGCUGUCCUUGCAGACUCUCAGGACCGCGCAGGCAAUCAUUGGAACCACCCACCCCAGCAUUGUGGAGUGCGUGCUGAAGGUGCUUGGCACCAUGCACCUGGAAGUCCAGUAUGAAGGUAGGGGGGCAGCCGGGGCUGUUCCUGCUCACGCUUUACAGAAGCUGACCGCGAGAACAAGACCGCUAGCUCUCAACAGUCUUCUCCUGGUCACAGAGGACCCUGCCAUCGAGCUGAUCAAGGACCUGGUCAACUACGACGUGUGCCAGGCGCUGCUCAAGGGCCUUGUGGAGCUGCUGAUACCGUCCUUCAAGGAGACCAGCAAACUGCAGCCCAAAAUCUUCAACGACUCCUUGGUUCCCCAGCUCACCGCCCACCUGCCAGUGUUCCUGCAGCAGGCCGCGGCGGCCAAGGCCAUCAGGGUCCUGGCGCGCAGCAACAUGAAUAUUGCGGAGAAGAUGCUGCACCUGCGCGUGGUGCACAGCCUGUUGGCCGCCAUGGGCAACUCGGACCACAGCAACAGCCAGCGGCAGGCCAGCCUCACGCUGGAGUACUUCGUGCAGGUGUUCCCGGUGGUGGAGGAGCACGUGCGCAGGUCCAUGGGAGAGGACCUCUACCAGCUCUUCCUCGUGAGUGCCCCGCCCCGCCCCCAAGAGCCGCGACCCCGACACACGCGGCCGCCUCCACGGCGUCCCUCCCCCGGGACACACCUCCUACACACGCCGGGCCUUGUGGCCGGCUGCGGGAGGGACCGCCGGGGCUCGGGCUCCUCCCCACCCCCCGGCGUCCUUCCGGUCCCCUCCCUGCGCUUCCGGUCAGCCCCGCGCCCGCCCCCAAGUCCAGACUGCCCUGGCGGCCUCCGCCAGGCUCCCCUUGCUCCCGUCCUCAGAGCAAUGCCGAGGACUUGUACAUGAAAAUAGAUAGCGUUCAGGCGGACAUCCUGGCGGCCAACAAGGUCAAUGUUUCCAAAGCAUUACACCUCAGGGGCAGCCCCCACAGCAACACGAGCUUUUACCUUGACGCUCAUGACCACGAUCAGCAGGCUUACGUCACCUACUUCCAGAAGGAGGAUAUGGAGGGAACGGAGUAACAGAGCCUCUGAGGCAAUCCGGAAAGGCCCGGGCUGUGUUUCAGGAAGCCUGGCAGAAGGAUCCUGGGGUCACGAUCGCGGUGACUCCACUGGCCCCAGGUGGGAGGCUGAGGGUUGGGCCUGCCAGUAGGGGAGAGGGAGAGCGCUGGCUGGCAAGAAUUCAAUAAAUAGUCUUGCUAUCUGCCUGUUCUCCCUGUAGGGGGUAGGGGGGGUUAAAUGAGAGCUUUGCUGAUGGGCUCGAUCGCCUCUGCUCGUCCACGAAAAAAGCUGGUCCGGAGGGAAGGAACAUCAGCAUCCUGGAAGAUUUAAGGGCGUAGCCUGAGGAGAGACCCUCACCUCUGCUCCAUACUGCCCCCUGCACUCUCUCCUCCAGGAGACCACGCUCAGCUGCUUUUUCUCCUACCCCUGGUUGCUUCCUCUCAUUCUCUUUCGCUGAUUCAUCCUCUCAACCCAGCUUCUUUCAAAUUGGAGUGACCUUGAGCCUCUAUCUACUUUUUCACCCUGCUAAUCUCAUCCCGUCUAAGAACUUUAAAUGCCCUUUAUAUGCCAUUGACUCCAUUUCUAUUUCCAGUUAAAUAUUUCCAUCUCUUUGUGUCCAAAACUGGACUCCAGAUCCUGUGCCACCUUCCCCAACUCAACCGACGGCAACUCAUCGUUUCUGCCACUUCGAACAAAAUAGUGUUCUCCUUAACGUCUCUCUUCAAUAUCUGUAUCCGUUCUGUCUGUUGACCCUACCUUCCAGAUAUAUCCAGAAUCCAGCCAUAUCUCACUACCUGUGUUGCUAAUACCCUAAUCUGAGCCACCAUUGUUCUUCCUGCUUUGUUUUUCCACCAUUGUUUAGACUACUCUAGAGGCUUUUCUACCCCAUUCUCUUUUCAAUACAGCAGCCAGGGUAGUCUUUUAUUUUAUUUUAUUUUUUGAGAUUUUAUUUAUUUGAGAAUGAGAGAGCACAAGCAAGGGGAGAGAGAAGGAGAGGGAGAAGCAGGCUCCCCGCAGA